rnacentral:rRNA from 1 species
CAUGCAAGUUGAGCGCUUGAGGGGGGCAACCCCCAAGAGAGCAGCGAACGGGUGAGUAACGCGUGGGUGAUCUUCCUUCGAGUGGGGAACAACAUCGGGAAACUGGUGCUAAUUCCGCAUAAUAUCCUCGGGCCACGAGCUCGGGGAUCAAAGCCGGGGACCGCAAGGCCUGGCGCUUGAAGAUGAGCCCGCGUCCGAUUAGCUAGUUGGCGGGGUAAUGGCCCACCAAGGCUCCGAUCGGUAGCCGGCCUGAGAGGGCGGACGGCCACACUGGAACUGAGACACGGUCCAGACUCCUACGGGAGGCAGCAGUGGGGAAUUUUUCGCAAUGGGCGCAAGCCUGACGAAGCAACGCCGCGUGGAGGAUGAAGGUCUUCGGAUUGUAAACUCCUGUCGACCGGGACGAAUGCACUCGACCUAAUACGUCGGAAUGUUGACGGUACCGGUGGAGGAAGCCACGGCUAACUCUGUGCCAGCAGCCGCGGUAAUACAGAGGUGGCAAGCGUUGUUCGGAAUUACUGGGCGUAAAGGGCGCGUAGGCGGCCUUAUAAGUCUCGUGUGAAAGCCCUCGGCUUAACUGAGGAUCUGCACGGGAUACUGUAAGGCUCGAGUUCGGGAGAGGAAAGCGGAAUUCCGGGUGUAGCGGUGAAAUGCGUAGAUAUCCGGAGGAACACCAGUGGCGAAGGCGGCUUUCUGGACGACACUGACGCUG